rnacentral:rRNA from 1 species
CAGCAGCCGCCGCGGUAAUACGUAGGGUGCGAGCGUUAAUCGGAAUUACUGGGCGUAAAGCGUGCGCAGGCGGUUUUGUAAGACAGGCGUGAAAUCCCCGGGCUCAACCUGGGAAUGGCGCUUGUGACUGCAAAGCUAGAGUGCGGCAGAGGGGGAUGGAAUUCCGCGUGUAGCAGUGAAAUGCGUAGAUAUGCGGAGGAACACCGAUGGCGAAGGCAAUCCCCUGGGCCUGCACUGACGCUCAUGCACGAAAGCGUGGGGAGCAAACAGGAUUAGAUACCCCCGUAGUCCCUGUCUCUUAUAC